AAGUCGUAACAAGGUUUCCGUAGGUGAACCUGCGGAAGGAUCAUUACAUUCAGUAGCCUAGCUACUUGUUUACACCCUUGUUUUUUGCGUACCUAUUGUUUCCUCGGUGGGCUUGCCUGCCGGUUGGACAAAACUUAUAACCUUUUUAAAUCUUCAAUCAGCGUCUGAAUUAUACAUAAUAAUUACAACUUUCAACAACGGAUCUCUUGGUUCUG
rnacentral:misc_RNA from 2 species